AUACGUAGGGUGCGAGCGUUAAUCGGAAUUACUGGGCGUAAAGCGUGCGCAGGUGGUUUUGUAAGUCAGAUGUGAAAUCCCCGGGCUUAACCUGGGAACUGCGUUUGAAACUGCAAGGCUAGAGUGUGGCAGAGGGGGGUGGAAUUCCGCGUGUAGCAGUGAAAUGCGUAGAGAUGUGGAGGAACACCGAUGGCGAAGGCAGCCCCCUGGGUCAACACUGACGCUCAGGCACGAAAGCAUGGGGAGCAAACAGGAUUAGAAACCCCAGUAGUCC
rnacentral:rRNA from 1 species